GCAGGGACUGCAGCAGCUGCCGAAAUGCUGCAGUGGGUGCUGGCAAGGAAGGUUGGAGCUGAAAGUUUCUGGAUGAGGCUCCAGCUCCAAAGCUGCCCUUGGAUGUGUUUUGUCCUGGAGAGCCCCUGGUGGCCCAAGGGACUUGGCUGGCUCCAUGGGGUUGCUGUGGGCACUGUGCUGAAGGGCUGAGACCCCACAGCUGAGGAUCCCCUCCCUGCUCUGCUGGGCUGCCAAGAGCCCUUGUGCUGCUGCUGGCCUGUCCAAGUCACCACUAAAAGCUGCACUGAAAGAGCGUGGCUGAAGUGACGAGUGAAGAAAGCUGGGAAACACCACAGUUUGGGCUGCUUGAUGAAUUUUCUACCUUUUAUUUAAAUAGGAGGCUAAAUCCAUCCACUGCCUUGGAUUGUGGUGGCCUGCAGAGGAUUUCUCUGACAGAUGCCCGGGGGUGCUGCAGUGAUGUUUGUGCUGUGCUUGGUGUGAACAGCCCACUCACAGCCCUGGCUGAGGGGUGCUGGGAGCAGCUGGGAUUUUCUGGCCACUUGCCUGCACCGUGGGAUGCCCACCCACUGCUGGAGAAGUGAACUCUCAGCCCUGGAAUUCAGAGAAUAGGCUGUGGAUAGGAGCAGAGGGAGUACCUGGAUGUCAGCAGUGCUUCACUCUUUUCUGUGGCUACUGAGGCUCUCCCCAGAGUUUCCCACGUUAUUCCCAUUUUCCCAGCAGGAUUUUCUAGAGAACAAGAUGUGGCUGAGUGUGUGAAUGCUGUGCUCUGGGAAACACCAGCUUUGCCCAAAGUCCAACAUGUUUUGCACACCUUGAUGUGUUUGGCGCCUCAGUGCCAGCAAUGGGCAGUGCCUCCUCCAAAAACCCCUGAGCAUGGGAACAUCUUCAGACAGAAGGAGAAAAAAUGGGUUUUUUGGGAAAUUCAGGCAUAACUGAACUCUCCUCUUGCUGAUGGACAAAGGGAAAAGGUUUCAGUGCUCCUCAGGCCUCUCCCAGGCCCCUGUCUCUGCUCUCUGGGUUGAUGCUCCUCUCUUCCCUGCUUCUCAGGCUCUCCAUAGUUUGGUCCCACAGCCUUUCUCCUCUGCCAGCCCUCUCUACCCUUAAAAAAAUGCUCG
rnacentral:lncRNA from 1 species